GCAGGGGUGAGCAGGGGCAAGUGGUGUCAAACGGGCAUAAGCAUGACACGCACUAAACUGUCAGGCCCCCCCCUUGAAAUACGAGCCCUCUUAUAUCAGACAAAGCGCUGUUGGGAUCGGAAAAAGAGAGGGAUAGGACGCGUUAUAUCAAAGCACAUUUUAUGUUUAUUAUCAAGAAGGAAAAGAAAAAGGAUAUGUACAUUAAAGGCUUAUCAUACUUAUUUCUCCACCGACGUCGUCUCGACACAGUGAAUUAUGUUUAUUUUAUAAUAGGAUACAGUACAAGCACACACACAAUAAUCAGUUUAGCGUGUUGCUGCUUGGACUGAUGCAACAGGUGCAACUUCAGUCCUGCUCCUAAUGCCAGCCAACAUGGCUGUCCACGCGGAUGGGGUUAACCACUGGAGCAUGCGCCCUCAAACAGGGGGAGCAUGCUUGAGUACAUUUAAACAUAGUAACCACAUGAAAGUCCAUACAAAAGUAAUGAAAAAAAAAGAAAAGAACGAAAUAAGAAAGAAAUAAGAAAUAAGAAAAAUGAUGGUUUUGGCACAAGGAAAACCAAAGAAGAAGUCGAGGGGAGAAAGCCACAGCAACACUGGAGAAUGUAUUCGAUUGCUCCCUCUCUUGGCCAUGGCAUGAUCAAGUAUUUUUAGAAAAAUCGUAGUUAAACAGUCUGUCCUAUUUACACAGGGUUCGAGGUGAGAUGCAGGCAUUUCGGGGGGGGGGCUCAGGGUGAGCUGUUGCCGAGGGCCGGCGGGCAUUUGUCAGAUUCUCACAUGAUGACAGUCUCGAUUUGGCGAGAGUAGCAGAUAGGAGACUUGUGUUUGGGGGCGGGACUUGGGCUGCGAGUCAGUGGGCUAGCGGGGCGGGCCAGCGGACUGGGGGGGCGGUACAUCGGGCCGGACGGGGCGGUGAUCUUGGCGGAAGGGGUGCGGCUUGCCCAUCUGGAGGGAGGACGCUGAUUGGCUGGCCGGGCCGGCCGGGAGAAAUUGUUUGUGUGUGUUGCUGUGGAUGACUCGGCCGGGUUGACCUGGAGGGAGGGAGGGAAGGAGGGAAGGAGGGAAGGAGGGAUGGAGGGAUGGAGAGAGAGAGAGAGAGAGAGAGAGAGAGAGAGAGAUUGACAUUUAGUUUCAUGUUGUCUUGAUAGAAGUUCAGCUCAGGAUCAUUCUAAGUUUCAACAAUGUGUGAUAGUGUGUGUGUGUGUGUGUGUGCGUCUGCGUGCGUGUGUGUGUGCACACACGGGCCCCCUCACCUGCGGUGGCCCUUGUCUGUGUGCGCCGUGUCCCCCUCUGGGCCCCGCCGCGCUGUACUCGUGUUGAAUGUCCAGCAUGUCCAGCAGCUCCAUGAGCGCGUCGUCGUCCCUCCCGCGGCCCCCGCUCGGCCCCUCUCCCUGGGCCCCCUGGCCCCUCUGGUUCCUCUGGCCGCCGCCGCCACCGCCGCCACCCGGCGCCUUGAAGUCCGCUCUGGGCUGCUCCCCGUAGCGGGACGGGGCGCACCCCCCCCGCCGGCCCCCCGCGUCCCUCUCCGUGCCGCUGUCGGCCCUGGGUCUGGGCUUGGGGCUGCCGGCCACCGGCGCCCUCCUCCUUUGGCCCGGCUCCGACUCGGGCGUCAGGGCGUCGGCGGCGGGCGCCCGAGCCCGGCGCUGAGAGCCCGGCGUGGAGGCCUUGGGGCUCUCCGGGCAGGCGUCCCGCCGGGUGACCACGCCGCACUCGGUGAGCGUCUUGCCCUCGUUCUCGUGCAGCAUGGCGCCGAACUUGCGCAGGACGGACGGGCUGCCGCACUUCCUGUCCGCCAGCUGCCCCUGGCCAAAGGGCUUCCUGUCCAGGGCGGGGGAGUCGCAGUGCGCGCCGCCGGCGGGGGGGUGCGGCUGGGGGGCCGGGCGGGGGGCCGCCGAGGAGGGGGAGGGGUCCCUCUGUCGGAGGGGGGGCUUGGCGCAGGUGUUCUCCUUGUCUUUCGUUCGGGACGUGCGGUUCUUGUGGUUCUCCGUCUCCUCCACGCUUUCCGACGGCUGGCUGUGACAAUUCCUGUUGCCGCGGGAACAGAGCUUUAAGAACACGUUCGCAGUGUUUGCCGUCCUUCCGAGGAUCAGGCCGUAUCUUUGUGCCGAGGCACGAGAAUCAAAUUGAAUCAAUUACCUUCCGUUUCCGGCGCCGCCCCUGCCGUCGUCCUGGUGCUUGGGGAGGUCCCGGCUCACAGCGAUAGUGUCGUUGAAGUGCUGAGGACGAAAACACAAUAAUGAUAUUAAAAACACGCUCAAGUGAACUCUAAAUAACUGUACAAGCCCCCCCCCAGGCUUCCCAUUAGUGCUUCCCACUUUGAAUCACAAGUAAGUUCCCCAUUUCCCAGUCGAUAAACUGAAUUCCGAGCCUGUUUUUCUCCCCCCGAAGAGCCGAGGGUGUUUCAACAGCCAAGACAUGUUCCGUAUUGAAUUUCUUUCCGACCGGGACAUGGGGUUAAUUCCCGGAAUGUGUGUGAAUGCUCUCUUCCAAGGGGGGGG
ensembl:lncRNA